rnacentral:lncRNA from 1 species
CUAAUAUACAUCAAAAGUUGUAUAAUUUGGAACCAUUUCCACAAAUGCUUGAGGGGUUAUAAUAUGCUUGCUGCCUGAGAUUUGGAAACAAGAAUAUAUAUAUAUAUAUAAGGCUUCAGAAGCACAAAAGUAUACAUGACAUGGGAAUCAUUGGUUUAUUUCAUAUGAAAAAAAACUAUAAACAAAAUGUGAAGACCUAUCUUGUGUAACUAUAUACAUUCAUUAUAAAUUCACUAGUAUCUCAGGGACUCCGUUAUGAUCUCCUUCCACUUGUGCAAGUUGAGUGUAUGGGGUUCACAUCUUAAUUCAUCAUGGCUGCCCACAUGAAAAAGCAUAAUGAUCAUAAUCCUGCUAUGAAGGGAAUUAAUAAGAUCAAAAUAAGGGAUUAUAUAUAAAAAAUUGUGUAUAUAUUACAGUUCUUUUCAAGUAAGCCACUGAGACCUAUGAUUAGAGAUAAAUGUUGCUAUGUAAGAAACAUCUUACAACUUUAUUAGAAAAUCCGGAAUGGUUACAAGCAUUUUACAUAUAAGUCUUAAUGAAUGCAGCUAAAUAAGUGUAUAUAUACAUGAACACAAAAUUGUAUACUUGGAAAAAAAGAUCAGUUCUAUAUGCUCGUACCGCUUAUCCUUGAGUUUUAAGGAACCAAAGACAUGGUCGAUGAACCACAACCGUGUUAUCAAAGUGUGAUUAAUGGCUCAGAUUUCACUCGCUUUCAGUAAAAACUAUUACAAUUUACUUUAGAGCAUUCAAUUAAUUUGUUUUGAUAUUUCAGAUAUAUAUAUUUCACCAUUGUAAGCUUUAAUUUUAGGUAGAAUUUCAUAACAGAAUUGUUCAUACAUAAGAGUGAAGAUUGAUCUUCUACUAAAGAACCUAAUGUGAAUAAUAACAAAGCAUCAAUGGGUCACACUUUGUAUUCUGUCACAACAGAACCCUAUAAUCCAUCAACACCAUUUUUUGAAUUCUUAAAUCCUAAUCUAACAUCGAAGAAUAAUUUGAACUGAUUUGGGUGGGAUGAAUGUACCAAACUAUGCUAUAUUGCAAGACAAAGGUGACAACACAUGAGAGUCUUAGUAGCAAACUACCACUAUGGACUCUCUGGUCUCUCCCUAUAAAAAUUGAUUUAAUUCAAAUGGACUAUUAGCCCAUGUAUCAGAUAUUAAACUGAUAAGAACAGGAGACAAAUAAUGAUUAUGCAGUUCUUAUAGGUUGGAACAAUGCGGCAAUUAAGGUUAUUAAUAAUAUGAUAAGAGAAAUGAUUGAGAAAGGUUUUGGACCACCAGUCAAGUUUUCUACAGCAAUUUUAACUGGUGUACAAUCUUUCUCAUGCGCUACUUGAUAAUGCACCAAAAAUACUACAUCAUUUUAUAAAACAUUACUAUCUCCAUCAUUUCAUUAUUGGCAUAUAUAUUCAGGGAUCUUAAAUCAAUAAAUACAAUUCCAGAAAGAGAGAGAGUAACUGAUGAGGUUAACAAGGGAAGCGAAGUUUGUCUUACAUCGCUUGUUCUUAGCAAGACUCGAGCGUUUAUAUAAUCAAAGAGUGAAAUAGAAGGACACGACCUUACUUGAACAGGAUCUGUUCUAUAGGCUCGUACAACUGUAUCCUUGAGUUCUAAGGAGACAGGAACCGAAGUCUGGUUGAUGAAUCAUGACCGUGUGAUCAGAGCGUGAUUAAUGGUCCAGAUCGAACCCUCUUGGGAGGUCUCCAUCUGUGGCAGUGGAGGAGAUUUACCUGGCAACAGAAAAAUAGAAAACCAUUGGAAUGGUAUUGAACUUGCAUGGGGUCCACCAUGGAAGCUUCGUUGGUGAUGAGUCCUCCUGUUGGAACGGUAGUACAAAUGAAGCAGAUUGCGGUGGCAACUGGCAAGUCGAAACAAAGAAGCAGUUCCAAGUGUUUUUUUGUUUUCCUUUUGAUUUUGGACACACAAAUGCUUUGGUUUCUCA